rnacentral:rRNA from 1 species
CCUACGGGAGGCAGCAGUCGGGAAUAUUGCGCAAUGGAGGAAACUCUGACGCAGUGACGCCGCGUGCAGGAAGAAGGUUUUCGGAUUGUAAACUGCUUUAGACAGGGAAGAAAAAGGACAGUACCUGUAGAAUAAGCUCCGGCUAACUACGUGCCAGCAGCCGCGGUAAUACGUAGGGAGCAAGCGUUAUCCGGAUUUAUUGGGUGUAAAGGGUGCGUAGACGGGAAAUUAAGUUAGUUGUGAAAUCCCUCGGCUCAACUGAGGAACUGCAACUAAAACUGAUUUUCUUGAGUGCUGGAGAGGAAAGUGGAAUUCCUAGUGUAGCGGUGAAAUGCGUAGAUAUUAGGAGGAACACCAGUGGCGAAGGCGACUUUCUGGACAGUCACUGACGUUGAGGCACGAAAGUGUGGGGAGCAAACAGGAUUAGAUACCCCGGUAGUC